UGGGGAAUAUUGCGCAAUGGAGGAAACUCUGAUGCAGCAACGCCGCGUGAGGGAAGAAGGUCUUCGGAUUGUAAACCUUUGUCCUUGGGGACGAUAAUGACGGUAGCCGAGGAGGAAGCUCCGGCUAACUACGAGCCAGCAGCCGCGGUAAUAAAC
rnacentral:rRNA from 1 species